UUCCAGACUCCUACGGGAGGCAGCAGUGGGGAAUAUUGGACAAUGGGCGCAAGCCUGAUCCAGCCAUACCGCGUGGGUGAAGAAGGCCUUCGGGUUGUAAAGCCCUUUUGUUGGGAAAGAAAUCCAGCCGGCUAAUACCUGGUUGGGAUGACGGUACCCAAAGAAUAAGCACCGGCUAACUUCGUGCCAGCAGCCGCGGUAAUACGAAGGGUGCAAGCGUUACUCGGAAUUACUGGGCGUAAAGCGUGCGUAGGUGGUUAUUUAAGUCCGUUGUGAAAGCCCUGGGCUCAACCUGGGAACUGCAGUGGAUACUGGAUGACUAGAAUGUGGUAGAGGGUAGCGGAAUUCCUGGUGUAGCAGUGAAAUGCGUAGAGAUCAGGAGGAACAUCCAUGGCGAAGGCAGCUACCUGGACCAACAUUGACACUGAGGCACGAAAGCGUGGGGAGCAAACAGGAUUAGAUACCCUGGUAGUCCACGCCCUAAACGAUGCGAACUGGAUGUUGGGUGCAAUUUGGCACGCAGUAUCGAAGCUAACGCGUUAAGUUCGCCGCCUGGGGAGUACGGUCGCAAGACUGAAACUCAAAGGAAUUGACGGGGGCCCGCACAAG
rnacentral:rRNA from 1 species